UACGUAGGUGGCAAGCGUUGUCCGGAUUUACUGGGCGUAAAGAGCUCGUAGGCGGUUUGGUAAGUCGGGUGUGAAAUCUCCACGCUCAACGUGGAGGGGCCACUCGAUACUGCCAUGACUCGAGUCCGGUAGAGGAGAGCGGAAUUCCCGGUGUAGCGGUGAAAUGCGCAGAUAUCGGGAGGAACACCGGUGGCGAAGGCGGUUCUCUGGGCCUUACCUGACGCUGAGGAGCGAAAGCGUGGGGAGCGAACAGG
rnacentral:rRNA from 1 species